GAUGUUGGGUUAAGUCCCGCAACGAGCGCAACCCUUAUUGUUAGUUGCCAGCACGUAAUGGUGGGGACUUUAGCAAGACUGCCAGUGAUAAAUUGGAGGAAGGUGGGGACGACGUCAAAUCAUCAUGCCCCUUAUGACCUGGGCUACAAACGUGAUACAAUGGCUGUUACAAAGGGUAGCUGAAACGCAAGUUUUUGGCGAAUCUCAAAAAAACAGUCUCAGUUCGGAUUGAAGUCUGCAACUCGACUUCAUGAAGUUGGAAUCGCUAGUAAUCGCGAAUCAGCAUGUCGCGGUGAAUACGUUCUCGGGGUUUGUACACACCGCCCGUCAAACCACGAAAGUUGGCAAUACCCAAAACCGGUGGCCUAACUUCGCAAGAAGAGGGAACCGUCUAAGGUAGGGUCGAUGAUUGGGGUUAAGUCGUAACAAGGUAUCCCUACCGGAAGGUGGGGAUGGAUCACCUCCUUUCUAAGGAA
rnacentral:rRNA from 1 species